rnacentral:rRNA from 1 species
AACGAACGCUGGCGGCGUGCCUAACACAUGCAAGUCGUGCGAGAAAGUCACUUCGGUGGCGAGUAGAGCGGCGCACGGGUGAGUAACACGUGGGUAACCUGCCCUCGAGUCUGGGAUAACCCGGGGAAACUCGGGCUAAUACCGGAUACGGCCGCGAGGUCUUCGGAUCUCGUGGAGAAAGACGGCGCUCCUUCGGGAGCUUUCACUCGAGGAUGGGCCUGCGUCCCAUUAGCUAGUUGGUGAGGUAACGGCCCACCAAGGCAAAGAUGGGUAGCUGGUCUGAGAGGAUGGCCAGCCACACUGGAACUGAGACACGGUCCAGACUCCUACGGGAGGCAGCAGUGGGGAAUUUUGGGCAAUGGGCGAAAGCCUGACCCAGCAACGCCGCGUGUGGGAUGAAGGCCCUCGGGUCGUAAACCACUGUCAGGAGGAAAGAACGGCCGGCCGGAUAACACUCGGUCGGUUUGACGGUACCUCCAAAGGAAGCGCCGGCUAACUCCGUGCCAGCCGCCGCAGUAAGAC